rnacentral:rRNA from 1 species
CUGCCUGMCCAGUGACUCUAGUUAAACGGCCGCGGUAUCCUGACCGUGCAAAGGUAGCAUAAUCAUUUGUUCUCUAAAUAGGGACUUGUAUGAAUGGCCUCACGAGGGUUUAACUGUCUCUUACUUUUAAUCAGUGAAAUUGACACUCCCGUGAAGAGGCGGGAAUUAAAAAAUAAGACGAGAAGACCCUAUGGAGCUUCAAUUAAUUAACUUAUAAGUUAUAAUACUAAUCUAAAAGAGACAAAUCAAACUUGACUGAGUUAACAAUUUGGGUUGGGGCGACCUCGGAAUAAAAAUCAACUUCCGAGACAGAUCUACUAAGACCUACAAGUCAAAGUUAUCUUACCACAUAUUGAUCCGCCAGUGACGAUCAACGAAACAAGUUACCCUAGGGAUAACAGCGCAAUCCUAUUUAAGAGUCCAUAUCGACAAUUAGGGUUUACGACCUCGAUGUUGGAUCAGGACAUCCCAAUGGUGCAGCAGCUAUUAAUGUGUUCGUUUGUUCAACGAUUAAAGUCCUACGUGAUCUGAGU